rnacentral:rRNA from 1 species
UGAUGCAGCGACGCCGCGUGGGGGAUGACGGCCUUCGGGUUGUACACCCCUUUCAGUAGGGAAGAAGCGAGAGUGACGGUACCUGCAGAAGAAGCGCCGGCUAACUACGUGCCAGCAGCCGCGGUAAUACGUAGGGCGCAAGCGUUGUCCGGAAUUAUUGGGCGUAAAGAGCUUGUAGGUGGCUUGUCGCGUCUGCCGUGAAAACCCGAGGCUCAACCUCGGGCGUGCGGUGGGUACGGGCAGGCUAGAGUGUGGUAGGGGAGACUGGAACUCCUGGUGUAGCGGUGAAAUGCGCAGAUAUCAGGAAGAACACCGAUGGCGAAGGCAGGUCUCUGGGCCAUUACUGACACUGAGAAGCGAAAGCAUGGGUAGCGAACAGGAUUAGAUACCCUGGUAGUCCAUGCCGUAAACGUUGGGCACUAGGUGUGGGGGACAUUCCACGUUUUCCGCGCCGUAGCUAACGCAUUAAGUGCCCCGCCUGGGGAGUACGGCCGCAAGGCUAAAACUCAAAGGAAUUGACGGGGGCCCGCACAAGCGGCGGAGCAUGCUGAUUAAUUCGAUGCAACGCGAAGAACCUUACCAAGGCUUGACAUGCACUGGACGGCUGCAGAGAUGUGGCUUUCUUUGGACUGGUGCCAGGUGGUGCAUAG